GACGAACGCUGGCGGCGUGCCUAAUACAUGCAAGUAGAACGCUGAAGAGAGGAGCUUGCUCUUCUUGGAUGAGUUGCGAACGGGUGAGUAACGCGUAGGUAACCUGCCUUGUAGCGGGGGAUAACUAUUGGAAACGAUAGCUAAUACCGCAUAACAAUGGAUGACCCAUGUCAUUUAUUUGAAAGGGGCAAAUGCUCCACUACAAGAUGGACCUGCGUUGUAUUAGCUAGUAGGUGAGGUAACGGCUCACCUAGGCGACGAUACAUAGCCGACCUGAGAGGGUGAUCGGCCACACUGGGACUGCGACACGGCCCAGACUCCUACGGGAGGCAGCAGUAGGGAAUCUUCGGCAAUGGGGGCAACCCUGACCGAGCAACGCCACGUGAGUGAAGAAGGUUUUCGGAUCGUAAAGCUCUGUUGUAAGUCAAGAACGAGUGUGAGAGUGGAAAGUUCACACUGUGACGGUAGCUUACCAGAAAGGGACGGCUAACUACGUG
rnacentral:rRNA from 1 species